rnacentral:rRNA from 1 species
UGGGGAAUAUUGCACAAUGGGCGCAAGCCUGAUGCAGCCAUGCCGCGUGUGUGAAGAAGGCCUUCGGGUUGUAAAGCACUUUCAGCGGGGAGGAAGGCGAUAAGGUUAAUAACCUUGUCGAUUGACGUUACCCGCAGAAGAAGCACCGGCUAACUCCGUGCCAGCAGCCGCGGUAAUACGGAGGGUGCAAGCGUUAAUCGGAAUUACUGGGCGUAAAGCGCACGCAGGCGGUCUGUCAAGUCGGAUGUGAAAUCCCCGGGCUCAACCUGGGAACUGCAUUCGAAACUGGCAGGCUAGAGUCUUGUAGAGGGGGGUAGAAUUCCAGGUGUAGCGGUGAAAUGCGUAGAGAUCUGGAGGAGUACCGGUGGCGAAGGCGGCCCCCUGGACAAAGACUGACGCUCAGGUGCGAAAGCGUGGGGAGCAAACAGG